AUUGAACGCUGGCGGCAGGCCUAACACAUGCAAGUCGAACGAGUGGCGGACGGGUGAGUAAUGUCUGGGAAACUGCCUGAUGGAGGGGGAUAACUACUGGAAACGGUAGCUAAUACCGCAUACCAUCAGAUGUGCCCAGAUGGGAUUGGCUAGUUGGUGGGGUAACGGCUCACCAAGGCGACGAUCCCUAGCUGGUCUGAGAGGAUGACCAGCCACACUGGAACGAAGACACGGUCCAGACUCCUCCGGGAGGCAGCAGUAGGGAAUAUUGCACAAUGGGCGCAAGCCUGAAGCAGCCAUGCCGCGUGUAUGAAGAAGGCCUUCGGGUUGUAAAGUACUUUCAACGGGGAGUCGUUACCCGCAGAAGAAGCACCGGCUAACUCCGUGCCAGCAGCCGCGGUAAUAC
rnacentral:rRNA from 1 species